CUGCAUUGCCCUUUGUUGGGCGUUUCCUCCCUAGACUCAGGCCGCUCUGUGAGCGGCCCUUUUUUUGCCAGAA
rnacentral:sRNA from 2 species